rnacentral:rRNA from 1 species
UACGUAGGGUGCAAGCGUUGUCCGGAAUUAUUGGGCGUAAAGAGCUCGUAGGCGGUCUGUCGCGUCGGCUGUGAAAACCUGGGGCUCAACUCCGGGCCUGCAGCCGAUACGGGCUGACUAGAAUUCGGUAGGGGAGACUGGAAUUCCUGGUGUAGCGGUGAAAUGCGCAGAUAUCAGGAGGAACACCGGUGGCGAAGGCGGGUCUCUGGGCCGAUACUGACGCUGAGGAGCGAAAGCGUGGGGAGCAAACAGG